GUCUAGUGUAUCAUUAUUUGCUGAGUUUAUUUUCUCUGUUAAAUAACCUGAGAUCCACUUUCUUCUUUUCAGGGAUGUUCCAUUCUCUGUCAUCUACUUUCCCCUUUUUGCAAAUAUAAAUAUGCUUGGCCAGACAUCUUCCCAUGAGAAGGCACCAUUCUACCAUUCAUUUUUUGCUGGAUGUUUGGCAGGGUCUGUGGCUGCUGUUGCGGUGACUCCACUAGAUGGUAAAAAUAAAUUUGUUUUUAU